AUACGGAGGAUGCGAGCGUUAUCCGGAUUUAUUGGGUUUAAAGGGUGCGCAGGCGGGCGAUUAAGUCAGCGGUGAAAGGCUCGGGCUCAACCGGAGCAGUGCCGUUGAUACUGGUUGUCUUGAAUGCGGUCAAGGCCGGCGGAAUGUGGCGUGUAGCGGUGAAAUGCAUAGAUAUGCCACAGAACACCGAUGGCGAAGGCAGCUGGCCGGGCCUGCAUUGACGCUGAGGCACGAAAGCGUGGGGAUCGAACAGGAUUAGAUACCCUGGUAGUCCACGCUGGAGACGAUGGACACUCGUUGUCGGCGACAGACAGUCGGCGGCCAAGCGAAAGUGAUAAGUGUCCCCCCUGGGGAGUACGGUCGCAAGGCUGAAACUCAAAGUAAUUGACGGGG
rnacentral:rRNA from 1 species